GAGGCAAUGUCUCAAUCUGAAAGUGAGUCUCCAAAAAACAACAAACAUCAGGGCGAUGCAUAUGAACCAAAAAUUUAGCAUAGUUAACAAAAGAGGGUUUUGCAGCCCCCCUACAGUUCCAAGACAAGAUCUUCAUAAGGUCAAAUGGAAGGUUGAAUGGGACUGCUAUCCACUACUUUAACAGACUCAUUGGACACAGUCUCGCCCUUAUCAACCAUUGCCUUUGCUAAUGGGAUUGACACAUCAUCUG
rnacentral:lncRNA from 1 species